rnacentral:rRNA from 1 species
CCUACGGGAGGCAGCAGUCGAGAAUCAUUCACAAUGGGGGAAACCCUGAUGGUGCGACGCCGCGUGGGGGAAUGAAGGUCUUCGGAUUGUACACCCCUGUCAUGUGGGAGCAAAUUAAAAAGAUAGUACCACAAGAGGAAGAGACGGCUAACUCGGUGCCAGCAGCCGCGGUAAUACAGAGGUCUCAAGCGUUGUUCGGAAUCACUGGGCGUAAAGCGUGCGUAGGCUGUUUCGUAAGUCGUGUGUGAAAGGCGCGGGCUCAACCCGCGGAAGGCACAUGAUACUGGGAGACUAGAGUAAUGGAGGGGGAACCGGAAUUCUCGGUGUAGCAGUGAAAUGCGUAGAUAUCGAGAGGAACACUCGUGGCGAAGGCGGGUUCCUGGACAUUAACUGACGCUGAGGCACGAAGGCCAGGGGAGCGAAAGGGAUUAGAUACCCCAGUAGUC